UAGGUAACGGUUGGGCAUGCGUCCUAUUAGAUAGUUGGGGGGGUAACGGCCCACCAAGUCGAUGAUAGGUAGGGGUUCUGAGAGGAAGGUCCCCCACACUGGUACUGAGACACGGACCAGACUCCUACGGGAGGCAGCAGUGAGGAAUAUUGGUCAAUGGGCGAGAGCCUGAACCAGCCAAGUCGCGUGAGGGAUGACUGCCCUAUGGGUUGUAAACCUCUUUUGUAUGGGGGGAAUAAGCUUUACGAGUAGAGUGAUGACAGUACCAUACGAAUAAGCAUCGGCUAACUCCGUGCCAGCAGCCGCGGUAAUACGGAGGAUGCGAGCGUUAUCCGGAUUUAUUGGGUUUAAAGGGUGCGUAGGCGGCAUUAUAAGUUAGUGGUAAAAUAUUGGGGCUUCACCUCACUACGCCAUUAAUACUGUAGAGCUAGAGAACAGACGAGGUAGGCGGAAUAAGUUAAGUAGCGGUGAAAUGCAUAGAUAUAACUUAGAACACCGAUAGCGAAGGCAGCUUACCAGACUGAGUCUGACGCUGAUGCACGAGAGCAUGGGUAGCGAACAGGAUUAGAUACCCUGGUAGUCCAUGCCGUAAACGAUG
rnacentral:rRNA from 1 species